rnacentral:rRNA from 1 species
UACGAAGGGGGCUAGCGUUGCUCGGAAUCACUGGGCGUAAAGGGUGCGUAGGCGGGUCUUUAAGUCAGGGGUGAAAUCCUGGAGCUCAACUCCAGAACUGCCUUUGAUACUGGAGAUCUUGAGUUCGGGAGAGGUGAGUGGAACUGCGAGUGUAGAGGUGAAAUUCGUAGAUAUUCGCAGGAACACCAGUGGCGAAGGCGGCUCACUGGCCCAAUACUGACGCUGAGGCACGAAAGCGUGGGGAGCAAACAGG